GUCUAGAUGAGGAGUCCCAAAUAGGACGAAAUGAGCGUCAUCCUGAAU
rnacentral:hammerhead_ribozyme from 1 species